rnacentral:rRNA from 1 species
GAUGAACGCUAGCGGGAGGCUUAAUACAUGCAAGUCGAGGGGCAGCGGAAAACUUCGGUUUUGCCGGCGACCGGCGCACGGGUGAGUAACGCGUACGCGACCUACCUUCAAGAAGGGAAUAGCCCCCGGGAAACUGGGAUUAAUACCCUAUGUGAUUAUAGAGCUGCAUGGUUUUAUAAUUAAAGUUCAGGCGCUUGAAGAUGGGCGUGCGUGCUAUUAGGUAGUUGGUGAGGUAAUGGCUCACCAAGCCGACGAUAGCUAGGGGGCGGUGAGAGCGUGAUCCCCCACACGGGUACUGAGACACGGACCCGACUCCUACGGGAGGCAGCAGUAAGGAAUAUUGGACAAUGGGGGGCGAACCCUGAUCCAGCCAUCCCGCGUGCAGGAUGACAGCCCUACUGGGUCGGUAAACUGCUUUUGUUAAGAGAAGAAUCCUUUUCUA